UACGAAGGGGGCGAGCGUUGUUCGGAUUUACUGGGCGUAAAGGGCGCGUAGGCGGCAAUUCAAGUCAUCUGUGAAAUCUCCGGGCUUAACUCGGAAUGGUCAGGUGAUACUGCUUUGCUAGAGUGCAGAAGGGGCGAUCGGAAUUCUUGGUGUAGCGGUGAAAUGCGUAGAUAUCAAGAGGAACACCUGAGGUGAAGACGGGUUGCUGGGCUGACACUGACGCUGAGGCGCGAAAGCUAGGGGGAGCAAACGGGG
rnacentral:rRNA from 1 species